rnacentral:lncRNA from 1 species
AACAACAAACCCAGAAAUUUUCUUUAUAAAAAAAAAACAGCAAACCCAGAAAAUAAAAAAAAUAAAAGUAAAAAAAUCUCAAAUCUUUCCAUUAUAUUGAUGUUACUAUAUGUCUCUUCCAUUGAACAAAACAACAAUGUCCUCAACAAAAACCUAGGAUUGCAACACCCAUAAUCUUUUUUGUGUAUCUGUUUUCCUAUUUUGGAUACUUCUUGUACUUG